rnacentral:rRNA from 1 species
UUCCCAGACUCCUACGGGAGGCAGCAGUGAGGAAUAUUGGUCAAUGGGCUUACGCCUGAACCAGCCAAGUCGCGUGAGGGAAGACUGCCCUAUGGGCUGUAAACCUCUUUUGUCAGGGAGCAAUUGGCGCUACGUGUAGCGUUAUCGAGAGUACCUGAAGAAAAAGCAUCGGCUAACUCCGUGCCAGCAGCCGCGGUAAUACGGAGGAUCCGAGCGUUAUCCGGAUUCAUUGGGUUUAAAGGGUGCGUAGGUUGUUUUAUAAGUUAGCGGUGAAAUACCGAUGCUCAACAUCGGGGCUGCCGCUAAUACUGUAGGACUAGAGAUCGGAUGCAGCAGGCGGAAUGUGUAGUGUAGCGGUGAAAUGCAUAGAUAUUACACAGAACACCGAUUGCGAAGGCAGCAUGCCGGCUCCACACUGACGCUGAGGCACGAAAGCGUGGGUAUCGAACAGGAUUAGAUACCCUAGUA